CAGAGAAUAGUUUAUAACAGAACAAAGGCUUUGGGGGCUUUUAGAUUUUAACUCUGA
rnacentral:tRNA from 1 species